rnacentral:lncRNA from 10 species
CACAGUUCUGGAAGCUUUGAAGUCCAAGAUGAAGGUGGCAGCAGCUUGAGUGUCUGAAACAAGAAGAAAUGGAAAAUAACUGCAGCACGUUUAUGACAUUCGUUUCUUUCUCCACAUGAAACAUACAAUGAGAACACUUUAUAGAUGAAUUGUGUCUUCGAUUGAAUAGAGAAUGGUGGACUAGCUUUGGUUUUAUGGAAUUGGAUAAUUUGUCAUAGUUUCUGUCCCUGGAAAAAUGAGAACCCAAAGGAAAACAAGUGGAAAGCCUUUAAAAAAUAGUGAUAUAAUACACAGCUGAUAUUUUUGGUUCAUAGAAUACUUUAAAGUACAUCAUUUACAAAGCAAAUUACUAAAUUAUAAGAAAUGCUGUCAUCAUCAAUAAACAUUCACAGAGCUUCAGGUUUUAACACAAAGCAUUCCUCAUAUUUCAGGUGAUAUUAUUUAUGAAAAAAUUACUUGGAGAUUGCUCCAAGGUUAUCACAUUCUUUUCAAACCAUCAAUUCCCUAUUAUUAUUUACUAUUAUUAGUUAUUAUUUAUAAAUACAUAUGAAUACACAAUGAAAGCAUGCUUUAUGUAUAGCAUAUAAAUAUAUUUGAACUUUACUUUCCCCACAUACUAUCUAUCCUGCAAUAUUACACCACCAGUAAAAGAGUAUCUAAAUAUUAAUUGCUCCUAUCACAAUAGUGGAAACUAGAAGAGAUAAGUUUUCCCAAAUCUGAGUAGAAAACCAUGGUUAGCGGAUAUCCAUUUGUCCAUUUACGGAAUUAUAGCAAUAAAAUCCAGCCAAUAAUUUUUAGUUUGCUUAUUAUGUAGUGGCAAAACAUAAUGUCUUUUUCUCACCCAUUACAAGGGUCACAGCUGACAUACCUAUAACAAAAACCAGAUGAACAAGAAAAAUGCAUAAUGUGUUCAUUUAAUAAAGUUUUAAGUGACGUGGGAGCCUUCA